GGAUGAAUUAAACUGAUUUAAACCAGUGGUCCUCAACUCUGGACCUUGAGGUCCACUUUCCUGCAGAGUUUAGCUCCAACCCUAAUCAAAC